GGUAAGAUCCCACCUUGACACCCGGGAUGACCUAAGGCUGGCACAGUCACGAUUACUUGGCAGAGUCGCUGUGGGCACUGGCUCACUUGAUCAUGAAGUGACGAGCUGCAACAAUCAUGGGAAGUGCCGGGUGGGGUGUAGGGUGGAGGAGGAACAGGAGUCAGAUAUGUCAGCUCUGGCAGCAGAGGUGGUCUUGGAACGGGGCAUGUCGCAUUUUAUUUUUUUAUUUUAUUUUACCUUUGUGGUAUAGAAGCCCACUAACGCAUGUACGUUUUUCGGUUUAGUGCAUGACUUUGGAACAGCGUGGUUUCAGGCGGCUGAUGGUAAACCCACCCAUAUUGGGCUUUGGUUUUGGACAUACUGGUUUCGAUUUCCCUUCCCAAAAGAUUGGUUUUAGUUUGCUGAUGGUUGAGGUUAGACGUUUCGACGUUGGUUGCACCAACGGCGUUCUUAGAUUUGCUUAUCAUUUAAUGCGCAUGGUUUUGACCAUUGCGCAAGGGGGAAGGUAUUGAGGAGAAUUUUAAAAAAAAAUUAGAAAACAAGGUUUUUCUUCGCAAUACUUGCAAACAAUGGUUGACAUCCAGCUAAUUGAGUGCGAAAUAUUAAAAAAAAAAAAACAGUGUUUAACAGAUGGGUAAAAGCAGUCCCAUCAAAAGACCAAAGUGCGGCUACAGUAAUCAAGUUUCUGACCAGAGAAGUCAUGCCAAGGUUUGGAAUUUCCUCACAAAUUAGCUCGGGCGAUAGGGCAGCAUUUAUUCAGAAAACACUCAAACAAGUGAUUUAACAUCUGCAUGUCUAAUAAAGACUAGUCUGUGUCUACAAUCCUCAAACCACAAGGUAUGGUGGAGAGAGGAAUGGGACGCUUAAGACAAAGAUUAACAAAAUUAAAUUAGAGUACUAAAUUAAAGGACUAAUGCACUACGACUGACACUAAUGAGUUAUCGCAUGAAAACUAACAGAACGACACAUCUAACCCCGCAUGAAAUGCUUAGGGUCAACCCAUGCCUUCACUUAACAUUCGAGGGUCCCAGCAGGGACUUCCAUUAGAGUAAUUAGAAAUAGAAUUAAGGAAAAUAUGUUUGAACAUCUAACUGUUGUACAUAAGUUUGUAAUUCCAGCAAGAGAAACACAAAGUUCCAGGGCUGGAGGAGGAGCCAGAUGCAGACACGCCCGGAGCCGACCAACUACCCAAGGAUGAUGCAAUCAAAUUUCAGCAGGCACCGGAUGGGUCGGUGGCCAGGGUGCUGGCAGGGUUACAGAGUUGGCGGAGAGCUCCGGCAUUAAUGACCCCUUCACAGGAUGGAUGGAGAGCCCAAUGAGCGAUGGGCGCUACAGGUGCAGCAGGUGCCAUCCAAGCUUACCUGGGGAUCGAGUAUACACCGGAGAGUUUGGACGAUGGACCACCAGAGGGGCCCGACCUGAUCUGGCUGGAGAACAUAGAAUAGACCCCCUGCGCCCGCACCCUCUGCUCACGCCUCAUCACCACGGCCCUCGAAAAGGAGAAACAACAGCCCCCUCCCUACUCCGAAGCAGCCCCCCUCAUGCCCCUGCUGGAUUUCCCGGACCAGCUUCCCCUGGACGACCAGAUAGUGCCUGCAAACUUUGACUGUGAG
ensembl:lncRNA